rnacentral:lncRNA from 1 species
UUUCAGUUUUUUUACUCACUCCUACCAUAAACUCUCUUAAGAGACCGGCAUUCAAAAAGCUUUUCUUUCUCUUUCCGUACUAUUGGAUUAUUUUUCCUUUUUUCCAGUUUUAGGGAUUGAAUAAGUAGUUUCUAAAACUAUGAGCACUUAUAUAAAUUACUUGUGCUCAACUACAUAUAUUAAGUUAUAAUAAAAUAUAUAAAUAUAUUUGUUCCAAUAUUCAAACAAAUACAAAGAAAAUCACACUUGCUAAUUUCAGUGAAUUAUAGUUUGGGAACUUCUCUUCUAAAAUCUACAUUUUGCAUUCCGUCACUGUUUUUUUUUUAAUUAAACGUGGGUGUCCGGGUCAGUUUACGCGCAUCUCGACUAAUCCCACUGGCCCUGAAGUUAACGACCAUGUAAGCCUCCAGUGACCAUCAUAUGAGCAACCACAGGGCUCGAACCUGAGACCACAGAGGGAGCAAACCUCUUGAUCCCAAGUUCUUACCACUGGGCCACCACCUAGAUGGUUUCACUGUUUUUAUUAUACGAGCAGUUUGCUUAGACCGACAAAUAGCUAUUCGACCUAUCCAAAUUGGUAUGGAGUGAAACAAGAACAAAAGACGAAAUAUUACAUAUAUAUUUGUUCACGCCAAGAAUAAAAACCUAAUUAACCAAGUAUCUCAAGGCUGAUAGCUGAGUUCAAAGUUAACAUGAUUGGGUUUUUUUUUAAUACAGUGAUAGUGGCUUAACUAGUUUGUCCAGUUCAAUAAAUUUUCUGAACUUUGAAACAAACCUAGGCAUGUGUAAGAAAAAAUCCUAUUAGUGGACUUCAAUUAUAGAGUUAGGCGGUGUAAGAUUAAUUAAAAAACUGAGCUCCAAUCCGGUUGCUCAUCGUAGAAAAUCAAAAGAAUUUUUGCCAACCAAAUAACCCACAAAAUGCCUUGCUCCAAACCUUUUUAUCUUCAAGUUGCUGAUGCAAUUCAGCUCCUUCCAGAUUUGAAAGAAGCAGCCAGACUUGAUGUAGAUCAGAAGUGCUUAGUUGUCUUUUCCAAGUAAGAUUCCAAGACCAAACUUCAUUGUUCCAGUACCCCAUUUCAAUAAUUCUACUUGCUGGAUUGAGGGACAAAACAUGAAGCCGAUGGAAUAGAUAUUUAAGAAUGCCACAAGCUAGCCAUCGGUCGGUCAUUCCAAAAAAAAGAUAUCUUUCUCGUUGUCCAUUUUGUAUCUAAUACUUUCUCUGAUUGGAGCUGAACUGAAUUCUACUGUAUUGGUUACAAAAUGAAUACCUUGCCAAGUAUCAGAUAAAGGAAGAUAUAUUGAAAGAGGGGAGCCCUUUCUCCAAGGUCCGUCUAUACUUCCUGAUUAUGAAAUCUUCCCAACCUUCCAAUCUUUUAUGCUUCUUGAUAAUGAAAGCCAUUUGAAAUAUCUAAUUAAAAGUGACUAAUGGCUUUGCAAUUUAAAAUGAAGAUAUCAAGGGCCUAGAAUUGUCAUCAAAGCGAGGCAAUCCAACAAAUUUAAAUAAAUAAAUAAAAAGGCUCUCGUCACUCUCCAAUUUUGUUGCCUUUUCAUUUUAAGGACAAAUUAAAACUAUAUUAUAUGCUCCUGUUGUUUGUUGUUAAUUGUUAAUGGUUUAAUUAAGAAAUCAUGCUAAGGCGCAAUGGAUUCCUCUCACAAUUCUUUAAGUAAAUGGAGCACCGAUACCUUUCUAUCCCCCAAUUAAUUACUCCUAUAACUCUUGUAAAUGUAUGUGCGUGUGUAUCCUACUACUAAAUUCUAUAGUGCAAACGUUUUGGGAUAGCAAUCAUAAUAUCAAUGACUAAUUAAACAGUGCUUCUUUUGAGUGCUAGGUAAAAAAAAAUUAAAGUACUCAACAACCAAUCAAUAUCAAUACUUAUUUAAUUAUAGAUCCAUUUUAAAGAGAAACAUACAUAAAGAUGAAAGAGGAAAUCAUACGUACCUUAACUUAUCAAAAAUAAUAAAAAUAUCUCAAUUUAAGUAUUAUUUUUUAUUUUUUCCCUCCCUGCUACUUAUUUUUAUCUAACUUCUGUUGAAUAAGUAUUUGUAAUUACUUUAUUAAUAUUGUUCAUACAUUUAUCAUGCAUGCACUGGAAUGAAAAGUAGAUUCCCUACGAGUCUACAACACCCGACUUUGAGCGAAGAAUUUUAAGCCAAAUUACCAACAAAAAUUGGAAUAGAUUGAAACAAAAGACAUGAUCGAAUAGAGGUAGUUUUUUUUUUUUUUUUUUGCAGAACAAGAACAGACUCCAUUCUACACUGAUGGUGCAAUUCCCCUUCAGUCUUCACACAAAAGCUUUUUCAGAAAUGUUGGAUUGUGUUGAGGCUCUUGACUAUAUUUGCCCCCAAUUUUUUUGGGCCGAGUCGUUGUUGGGGUUUGAACAAAGAUAAUAGAUCAGUUGGAAGGAACUUUUCCAGAGUUAUUUUUCAGUUUUUGCUCGAGUAAGCUAGAGGCGAGUCAAGCUUUUAAUCAGAGACUCCAACUUUUCUUGAAAAUGGACGUUACAAUGAGCAUAAAUACCAUAAUAGUUUCUGGCAUUUUCUUUCUCCAUAUUUUUCAUCCGAUCUUUAGGUCUGAAUUAGAUAAAAAGUUGCCUUCUCUUCCCAGUUUCCGACAAAAUAAACAUGCGUGGGGGGUUAUUAUCAAUGGGAAAAGGUAUUGAUUAUAACCCAUCUCAAAAAACCCUAAACGCCAUACUUGAGGUUAUGAAGGUUUGGCUCUGCUCGUCUCUUCUCUUCUUCACUGGUAAGUCGUAAAGACAAGCACAUUGUAACGUCCUGGGGCAUCUCAUAUUUGCCACGCUUUGACUUGAAAUAUCAUCUACUGAUCGAUUUUUCUUUGUUUUUAAUAGCACACUAGGGUUCGAAUAUUCCUAAAUCAACAAUUUAAAGAAAUUUAUGGAAUAAUUAACAUCUCAUGACCCAAUCCAAUGGAAAAGCUGGAUCUUUCUCUUCAUUUGCUAGUCACGUGUCGGCUUAGCUCUGUUUGCUGCCAUAGCUGCCAUUCAUCAAAAACAAAUAGCUGGUAAUGUUUGUUUCAUGAUAGAUAUAAGGACAGGCAAUGGUUUUAAUUACCUUUGUUCACUGAUAACGAUUUUGCAUAAUUUUCAUUGUUUAUUGGGUCUUGAAACUACGUGUCAGUAAAUUUCGGAUAGUCCAUGGAGAUAAGAAGAAGGACAGGCAGACAGAAAAUAUAGCCAGCAGGCCCAGCACAGAGCUAAUUAUUGUGACAACCUAACCACCACUUUUUGGCUUCCCUUCAAACUUUCGAACUCCAUUUUAUAGGGAGAUUGCCAUCUCUAUUCACUUAUCUCGAGAAUACGAAUUUAUCACUAUUAAAAUUAUUUUUUUAUUAUCAAUAUGAUUUAUUGAUAAAUUUUUUCUAUUUUCAUGUGAUUUUAAAAAAAAAAUUCAAAAAUUAUAACGUGAACAAAAUAAAAAACUAAAAAAAAAACAUAAAACAAAAUCAAAGUAGAAUAUAAAGAUUAAAAAUAACUUUUCCGUCUUGGAUUUUUUUUAAUUAUAUUUUAAUAUUAUAAAUUUAAAUGAUAUUUUAUUAAAUUAAACCGCAAUCAAGUUCUAAAGACCUUCACAUUUCAAGGGAAUAACCUGGAAAUGUGAUAUGGGGUUUUUAUGAUGGAUUGAUAUUUUUGUGGUCUUGAUUAUUGUAUACAUUAUUAUUUGCAAUAAAUAUUUAGCUAAGAGUGAGGACAAAAUCUCAAAUAAAUCAGAAGAUUAAGUACUGUGAUGAUGAAUAACCUGAAAGUUAUUGUUCUCAGUAGAAAAUCCAAUCGUCGCUGGGAAUCGAGAAAUCUUGUUGUUAUCUGCCAUUAAACAAGAGUUCGAAAAAGUCAAGUUAUUCAACGUCCACGUUAUCAAGAACAGGAAAGUUAAGCCUUUUAUUUCCUUUUUCUGAUAGGACUUGACAGAAUUACGCUACCCAGAUCAUGAUAUUGAAUGUCCAUUCCCUUGACUUAUCAUGUUUUCCCUUGCAAUCGACUCCAAAGAAAUUGCUUUCAUUACUCUAGCCAUCAACCAAGAAAAUAUUUAACAAAUUUUGUAUGGUUAAGUGGUUGUAGUCAUGCCCCCAAUUCUGAAUUCUGCGACUACAAGUUUAACACAGCCCUAUCAGAAUCUGGGCUAUGCUUAGAAAAUACAGAUUGUUCUUUUCAUAGUUUGAUAAAAAAAGCCUUUGACUUUCAAGAGUUCAAUUAUUUGAUUUCUUGGUUUACAAUCAUAAACAAAAACAUCGAAACUCCUCCAUUCAGUAAUUUGAUUUCUUGAGCAUUUUAGAAAAGUGGGGAAAAUUAAGAAUUAAACGUUUAACUUAGUGAGGGUAGAGCAAGAAAUGGUUAAAGGGUGGAAUUUUUGGAGGUUGUGGAAAAACCCUCCAAAAUCUAUCCGUGUCUGUAUUCAAGAAAUUAAAUGAUGGGGUUUUUUUUUUUUGUUUUUUUUUUGUUUAAGUUUUAAUAGCUAAGUUAUUUUGAUUUUUUAUUCAUAAAUAUUUUAUAAAAAUAUAUUUCUUCUAAAGAAAACUGGUUUCUAAAAUUAAUUUAUCUAUUCCUUUAAAUAUUUUGAAAUUUUAAUUGGUAGUCAUGUUACAACUUAUUAUAAUUUAUUUUAAUUAAAUUAAAUUAUUUAAAUUUUACAAACAACGAGUAAUCUUUGACCAAAUCUUUUUUUGUAUCAUGAGCAUAUUCUCCCAUGAUAUGAACAAAUGGGGGAUUAUAGGGUAUUUUACCAGAUUUUUUUAAAUAUUUUUUUUUUAAUUCGACACUCACUUUCUUUGUUUUUCCUCACACUCCAUAAUUGUAUCCUAUCAUUAUACAUUAUUUACUAUUUUAUUUAAUUUUAGUUUUGAUUUAAUUAUAAUUUUAGUUUAUAUAUAGUUCUUGCAUACUUAAGAACAUGCUUGAUUAUUUGUUAACACUUUAAUUACCUUUUGAAUGGUUUUACACCCUUUUUAACAUUUUAUUUUUCAAUCCUUGUUUUACACUCCUCUUAGCAUAUUUAAUAUUGCAUUAAUUUUUACUUUCUAAAUUAUUUUAAAAAAAAUCAAAUUAAUAUUAUUUGUGCGUAAUUUUUUAUGGUUUUGAUGUAUUAAUAUUAAAAUUAAAAUAUAAGAUAUAAAAAGUAUUAUUUUAAUAUAUUUGUAAUUAAAAAUUAUUUUCGAAAAGAAUAAAUCACCACAUUAUAAAUCAAACACUUAAUCUCUUGACAUUUAAUAUCAAAAAAUCAUCUAAACCCAAGUAAAAGCUUUUUAGACUUGAAACUUGUAUAGAUUUAUAUUACCUUGUGCUUAAUUUUUAUCAAAUAAAUAAAAAUUGUGAUAUUCGAACUUGUGGCCACUUGAAUAUUAAUAUUCUGAUAUCAUAUUAAAGAAUCAUCUCAACCCAAUAACUUAAAUUAUUUAUAUUAUUCAAUUACCACAUUCAACCCCAAAUUAAGCAAAUGCAAAUACAUCAUAAUUCGCAAUACUCAAAAGACGAAUCCUAACUCAGUUAAACAAAAACUAGUUCCAUAUUUUUCAGGAGGCUCCCCUUGGCUGUUCCCGGUGCCGCACCUACCAUUAAUUCUAUUCUUCAAUCUAUGGCCGCCAUUAAGUUUGUACAUAUAUUCUUUUAUCUCCUUAGCUAAAUUAUGGCCACCAAAUACCUAUGAACCUGAUUUUCUUUUUCUUCCCCUUCAUCACCUAAUUCUUUGAAUUGGUUUAAAAGUUAAUAGCAGCUUCCCUUUCACGUUUCCCUUGCUUGCCCUUUUGGUUUCUUUGCUGUUAGAGAGUGUAGAACGUAUGCUAAUAUCUCUUGCAACCCUCUCAAUAUAAGGGCAACCUUUCUUCAUUUAUGAAAAUAUCCCUUCACAAACAAUGAGCCAUAGGAAGGUUUACUCACAAGGUAGCAUACCCUUUUCAUGGGAAGACUCACCUGGAGUCUCCAAGGUCAUCCACAAAGAAUACACAAUAGAUAUAGGGCUAAAUGCCGUUAACAUAUCAUCCCCUACAUCCCCUAUUUUGUUUCCUCGUGACUCCGAUACCUCCUACAAGGUCUUAGGCAGUCAUGGCAUAAAAAUUCCUCUCCCUCCAUGCGUGAGCGCGAAGAUAGAGCCUCCACGAAGAAGCAAAUCAGUGAAAGGGUUUAGAUGGUGGCAAGAAGACCCUUUCCUUGCAGCUUACAAGGAAUGCACAAAGAAUGGGAGAAAUGGCAAGUUGUCAAGUGAAAGCAAGAAAAAUGUCAGGUCUAAACUAAGGAAGAGCAGACUUAUCUUUUCGUGCAAGGAUUCAUGUGAUGUUCAGGAUGAUAAUCUGGUUAUGCUAGCUAAUCUUCCUGCUAUCCCUAGAGAUAGAGUUCGAGGAAGAUGAAAUAUAUUUGGAUUGGACUAGGAUUAGUUUCUCUAGUCAAAUUAAAUUCUUAAACUAAUAUAUGAAACUAUAUUCUGUCUGCAUUCUUACUUAAAAGAGAUUUAAACCCAUUGCAUGUGUGAUCCAUCGAUGUUGUUGAUAAUAUUCUACUCUUAAGUAACACUACUAGAAAAUCAGACAAAGCUUUCUCAGCAUUUAAAGAAAAUUCUGUUGAUAUUACAAAUUGCCGACGGAAUAUCGUCAUCAUAAACUCGCUCAUCAUGGUUUUUAUUUUAUCAAUAAUUUCAUCAAUAAUUUCUAAUACUAAUAGAAUCAUUAACGAAAUAUUCCAUCAAAGAAACCAUUAAAAUAUAAUCAAAUCAAUAAUGUGAGUGUGAAGUAUAUAUAUCUUGUACAUCACAUCGGAGGUGCCGGAGAAUUUCAUUGUUGGUAGUUAGUAGUUUAUACUAGAAAAAUUGCACUGGUUUAUUGAUGAUUUUGAUUCUCUGUUUCUCUGUUUUUUUUUUUUCUCUUUAAAAAAUUCGCCAAGUGACCUGAAAAUUACCAGUAACUUUAUAUAGCUAAUCUCUUUUAAAGAUUUCUCUAUUAUGUAAGCCAACCUGCUAGCCGGACCCAAGAUAUGACCCAAUCACAAAUAAUCACAGCUUGUGGAUCCAAAUAAAUAAGUGGGCCGAGGUGAUCAAAAG